UACGUAGGCAGCGAGCGUUGUUCGGAGUUACUGGGCGUAAAGAGUGCGUAGGCGGUUUCGCAAGUUUGGUGUGAAAUCUCCCGGCUUAACUGGGAGGGUGCGCCGAAAACUGCGGGGCUGGAGUAUGGGAGAGGCAGGCGGAAUUCCUGGUGUAGCGGUGAAAUGCGUAGAUAUCAGGAGGAACACCGGUGGUGUAGACGGCUUGCUGGACCAUGACUGACGCUGAGGCACGAAAGCGUGGGGAG
rnacentral:rRNA from 1 species